AAAAAACUAGUUUAACCCAAAACACUUGAUUUCGACUCAAUUAAUUGUGGUUUAACCCCACAGUUUUUU
rnacentral:tRNA from 1 species